rnacentral:pre_miRNA from 1 species
CCAACGUUUGACCGUCCGUCUUAUUUAAAAUUUUCUUAUAAUUAAUAUUUUUGUUGUUAUUGAAUGAUAAAAUAUGAAUAAUACUUUAUGCAUGACUUGUUUUUUUUAAUUUUUUCAUAAAUUUUUAAAUAAGACAGACAGUUAAACAUUAAAAUAAAAACCGAUAACUGCA